rnacentral:rRNA from 1 species
GCAGUCGACGAUGAUCCCAGCUUGCUGGGGGAUUAGUGGCGAACGGGUGAGUAACACGUGAGUAACCUGCCCUUAACUCUGGGAUAAGCCUGGGAAACUGGGUCUAAUACCGGAUAUGACUCCUCAUCGCAUGGUGGGGGGUGGAAAGCUUUAUUGUGGUUUUGGAUGGACUCGCGGCCUAUCAGCUUGUUGGUGAGGUAAUGGCUCACCAAGGCGACGACGGGUAGCCGGCCUGAGAGGGUGACCGGCCACACUGGGACUGAGACACGGCCCAGACUCCUACGGGAGGCAGCAGUGGGGAAUAUUGCACAAUGGGCGAAAGCCUGAUGCAGCGACGCCGCGUGAGGGAUGACGGCCUUCGGGUUGUAAACCUCUUUCAGUAGGGAAGAAGCGAAAGUGACGGUACCUGCAGAAGAAGCGCCGGCUAACUACGUGCCAGCAGCCGCGGUAAUACGUAGGGCGCAAGCGUUAUCCGGAAUUAUUGGGCGUAAAGAGCUCGUAGGCGGUUUGUCGCGUCUGCCGUGAAAGUCCGGGGCUCAACUCCGGAUCUGCGGUGGGUACGGGCAGACUAGAGUGAUGUAGGGGAGACUGGAAUUCCUGGUGUAGCGGUGAAAUGCGCAGAUAUCAGGAGGAACACCGAUGGCGAAGGCAGGUCUCUGGGCAUUAACUGACGCUGAGGAGCGAAAGCAUGGGGAGCGAACAGGAUU